rnacentral:tRNA from 1 species
GCAGUGGUAGUUCAGUGGUAGAGUUCUCAGCUUCUGUGCUGGAGACCUGGGUUCAAUCCCAGCCAAUGUA